rnacentral:lncRNA from 1 species
UUCCUCCAUGAACAAAUUGAAAGAAUGGAAAUAAGCUUUGUUUAACUUUAAAGCCCAGAAACAGACCGAGAGUGAGCACAAACUGCAAAAUUACCAAGUCUACAGAGCAAUUUCAAUGGUGGAAGUGGUACCAAGCAAUAGGUUAACAAAUUACUUCUUUCAUGUGCAAUCAUGGGUUUUUUCCAAAAACAUAAUUCGUCUUCAAUAACGAUUUAACAGAGUUAAAUACAUAUAAUAUAAGGGGAGAAAUAGGUUACUAGCUUGUCAUGUUGUAGUCAUCUGGUUGCAGAUAAGGAUUAUAGUUUCCUGGAACUUCCAUCUUUCCAAUCAAAUUAUCCAUCCCUGCAUUUGUCAAAUUCCCAAGCAAUUUCAUCGUGUCAUACGCUGUAAAGAAUAGCGAAACAAAUACAGAUGUAGCGCUAGCUUACAUUCGAAAAAAGCUCAACAUUUUUUAACAAAAAAAGCUGUGGAAGUCUGGUAAAAAACUUGAGAAGUAUCUCUGACUUCACCUGUUAGCUUUUAACUUCUGAAAUACUCUUAUACCUCAGGUUAGUUUUGCUAAAGUUACCAAUAGGACAGAAAAACUCUAUAAAAGAGAAAGUAGCAAGUGGUCCAUUUUGAGGAUUGCACCGAUUGAAGAAAUUAAAGGAAGAACAAUGUAACUAGUGGGAAUAUAUUUAGCGGAGAAAUAAGAGGCUCCUUAUUCAUAAGUGUGAUUUGUCACAACUAAACAACAUAUAUUGCCUUGAUUCUUAUUUAAACGUAGAAAUGAUCUAAACGGAGAGGCAAAAUAAUUAAGGUAAUCGACCCCAAAUUUAUUGAGACUAAGACUAAACUUGGUACUAUAUCAUAUUUUAAAGUGAAGAUGAUAAAAGAAAAUUGUAAAGGAGUAAGAAAUGCGUACUCGGAUUUGCUAACAUAGAGCCAUAGAAGGACAUUUGC